GAGGGUAUAGCUCAGUGGUUGAGUGUGUGCCUAGCAUGCAUGAGGUCCUGGGUUUAAGCUCCAGUACCUCCA
rnacentral:tRNA from 1 species